rnacentral:rRNA from 1 species
GGCGGCGUGCUUAACACAUGCAAGUCGAACGAAGAGCGAUGGAAGCUUGCUUCUAUCAAUCUUAGUGGCGAACGGGUGAGUAACGCGUAAUCAACCUGCCCUUCAGAGGGGGACAACAGUUGGAAACGACUGCUAAUACCGCAUACGAUCUAAUCUCGGCAUCGAGGAUAGAUGAAAGGUGGCCUCUACAUGUAAGCUAUCACUGAAGGAGGGGAUUGCGUCUGAUUAGCUAGUUGGAGGGGUAACGGCCCACCAAGGCGAUGAUCAGUAGCCGGUCUGAGAGGAUGAACGGCCACAUUGGGACUGAGACACGGCCCAGACUCCUACGGGAGGCAGCAGUGGGGAAUCUUCCGCAAUGGACGAAAGUCUGACGGAGCAACGCCGCGUGAGUGAUGACGGCCUUCGGGUUGUAAAGCUCUGUUAAUCGGGACGAAAGGCCUUC